GUUUAUUUCAGUUCAUAAUAACGUCAAAAUAAAAUGCUGGCGACUGUCUGAUGAGUCUAAAGGAAGCCUUGGACCUGGUUACAUAAAUUGAAUUGAGCUUGCCAAGGUGACCUUCAAAACCUUCUUGGACGUAUGAGGAGUGACAUGUGAUGACCUCAAACCACAAGUAAUUCUAAUACAACUUUACUCACAGAAAAUCUUUUGGGAAGGUACCAGGACUUUAACUGAGCUUAAUGCAAGACUACAGACAUUGAGGACAUUGGAAAACAUGCAAACUGUUUGGAAUUCAAGGACAGAAGUUUUUCCCACAGUCUUCAUUCAGCUGUGUGUCCUGAAUUCACACCCAGGGUCCCCCCUGCAGAGCAGCACGAGGCCAGCUGUGCCUUCAGCUGGGAUUUUUGCUUUUGCUUUCUGAAGUACCAAUACCAGAGCCUUCCUGCUCAGCCCUUGGCAGUUCCUCCUUUCAAGGCCAUUUCUGCUCUUCCUCUGAUGUUUCUGCCAGCACCAGGUGGGUCAGAGGACCAUUGCUCUAUCCAGUUUCUGAAGAGGAUGCCAGUGUUGUUAGUGACCUGUGUCUAGUCCAGAAUCCUUUUUAUCUGCACCCCUGGACAAAGCUUUAGUCACAGCCUCAUGGAAAAUAAAUGCAGCCAUUUUACAUGGAGAUUCUCUGAU
rnacentral:lncRNA from 1 species